rnacentral:tRNA from 1 species
GUGGCUGUAGCUCAGUUGGUAGAGCCCCGGAUUGUGAUUCCGGUUGUCGUGGGUUCGAUCCCCAUCAGUCACCCCA